rnacentral:rRNA from 1 species
UUACUGCGAAGGGGGGACGGAGAAGGCUAUGUUGGCCGGGCGACGGUUGUCCCGGUUUAAGCGUGUAGGCUGGUUUUCCAGGCAAAUCCGGAAAAUCAAGGCUGAGGCGUGAUGACGAGGCACUACGGUGCUGAAGCAACAAAUGCCCUGCUUCCAGGAAAAGCCUCUAAGCAUCAGGUAACAUCAAAUCGUACCCCAAACCGACACAGGUGGUCAGGUAGAGAAUACCAAGGCGCUUGAGAGAACUCGGGUGAAGGAACUAGGCAAAAUGGUGCCGUAACUUCGGGAGAAGGCACGCUGAUAUGUAGGUGAAGUCCCUCGCGGAUGGAGCUGAAAUCAGUCGAAGAUACCAGCUGGCUGCAACUGUUUAUUAAAAACACAGCACUGUGCAAACACGAAAGUGGACGUAUACGGUGUGACGCCUGCCCGGUGCCGGAAGGUUAAUUGAUGGGGUCAGCGCAAGCGAAGCUCUUGAUCGAAGCCCCGGUAAACGGCGGCCGUAACUAUAACGGUCCUAAGGUAGCGAAAUUCCUUGUCGGGUAAGUUCCGACCUGCACGAAUGGCGUAAUGAUGGCCAGGCUGUCUCCACCCGAGACUCAGUGAAAUUGAACUCGCUGUGAAGAUGCAGUGUACCCGCGGCAAGACGGAAAGACCCCGUGAACCUUUACUAUAGCUUGACACUGAACAUUGAGCCUUGAUGUGUAGGAUAGGUGGGAGGCUUUGAAGUGUGGACGCCAGUCUGCAUGGAGCCGACCUUGAAAUACCACCCUUUAAUGUUUGAUGUUCUAACGUUGACCCGUGAUCCGGGUUGCGGACAGUGUCUGGUGGGUAGUUUGACUGGGGCGGUCUCCUCCUAAAGAGUAACGGAGGAGCACGAAGGUUGGCUAAUCCUGGUCGGACAUCAGGAGGUUAGUGCAAUGGCAUAAGCCAGCUUGACUGCGAGCGUGACGGCGCGAGCAGGUGCGAAAGCAGGUCAUAGUGAUCCGGUGGUUCUGAAUGGAAGGGCCAUCGCUCAACGGAUAAAAGGUACUCCGGGGAUAACAGGCUGAUACCGCCCAAGAGUUCAUAUCGACGGCGGUGUUUGGCACCUCGAUGUCGGCUCAUCACAUCCUGGGGCUGAAGUAGGUCCCAAGGGUAUGGCUGUUCGCCAUUUAAAGUGGUACGCGAGCUGGGUUUAGAACGUCGUGAGACAGUUCGGUCCCUAUCUGCCGUGGGCGCUGGAGAACUGAGGGGGGCUGCUCCUAGUACGAGAGGACCGGAGUGGACGCAUCACUGGUGUUCGGGUUGUCAUGCCAAUGGCACUGCCCGGUAGCUAAAUGCGGAAGAGAUAAGUGCUGAAAGCAUCUAAGCACGAAACUUGCC